AAUAGAUCACAAAUCUAUAUAAGAAUUGAAAAAAAAAUUGAACUUUUUUGAGUUGAAAAAACAAAAAGUUUCCAUUUUUAGCUUAUGUUAAAUGCAUCAGAAGAAUAUUGAAGUUCAGAUAGGUCAAGAACACAGUGACCUUUCAUCCAAUUUCAUCUCUUCCAAUCAAAAACAAUAUCAAAAUCCAAUCUUUAUCCCAAAUCAGUCAACCCCAUCUGAGAAUUUUUGCAAGAUUAAUCUCCAAAUCAAGAUCCCAUCACCAGAUUCUUCAACCAAUCAGAUUCACUUUAGGGAUGAACCAAUUUGCCAGAAUCAAUCACCAGGAAAAACCCUUUUGUCAACACCUCAUAAAAGGCCAAUAAUGUCUCAAAGUUCUAAUCUUUAUCAUUCCCCAACCCCAUCUUCGUCUGUUAACCAACAAGUACAACACAAUCAUUUCAAAGCUACUGUGUUGAAGUCUAGCUCUUCAUCAAAUCAGUCUUUUCUAUGUCCUUGUUCUAUCCCUGUGUUGUUAGCUACAAAAAGAAUCACUUUAAGGCUCCUUCAUCACUCUUGUCAUGCUUCUUGGAUUAGAGUUCAUUUGAAGCUUUUUAUAUUGCUGUCUUUGCCUUCUCUUUACUUGUUGACUUCCACUCAUUACUGGGGUUCUUUUAUUUACUUUCUGUUUAUUGUGGCUGUAAUUGCUUUUCUCGUGGUUUCACUUUGUGUUGCUCUCCCUUGUGUUCCUUCUAUCCGCAUAUUUCUUGCUAGAACUUUGUCUAUCAAUCUUCAUUCAUCACCUACUGCCUCAAAGUCUAGACCUUCAGUUGUUUGGUCAAUUGGUUCAAAGCCUAAACAAGAAAGUAAACCAGUUUCAGGUUGUUGGGUGCAAGUUUACAGCAAUGGUGAUGUGUAUGAGGGUGAAUUUCAUAAAGGGAAAUGCUCAGGAAGUGGGGUUUAUUACUAUCGUUUGAAUGGGAGGUAUGAAGGUGACUGGAUAGAUGGAAAAUAUGAUGGAUAUGGGGUGGAAACGUGGUCGAAAGGGAGCAGGUAUAGGGGGCAAUACAGGCAGGGAUUGAGACAUGGAGUUGGGAUGUAUAGGUCUUAUACUGGGGAUCUAUAUGCAGGGGAAUGGUGUAACGGGCAGUGUCAUGGAUAUGGGGUUCAUACUUGUGAAGAUGGAAGCAGUUAUACAGGGGAGUUUAAGUGGGGUGUCAAACAUGGAUUGGGUCAUUAUCAUUUCAGAAAUGGGGAUACAUAUGCUGGAGAGUAUUUUGCAGAUAAGAUGCAUGGUUUUGGAGUAUACCACUUUGGAAAUGGUCAUCGCUAUGAAGGAGCCUGGCAUGAGGGGAAGAGGCAAGGGUUUGGCAUUUACACGUUCAGAAAUGGGGAAACUCAGUCUGGUCACUGGCAAAAUGGGAUUCUUAAUGUUUCAAGUAGUCUUGGCAGCCUUCCGGGAUCUCCUUCUGCAAUUGACCAUUCUAAAGUGCUUCAUGCAGUCCAGGAAGCAAGGCAAGCUGCUGAGAAAGCUAUUAAUGUGCCAAACGUGGACGAAAGAGCAAAACGAGCUGUUACUUCUGCCAACAAGUCCGCCACUGCAGCAAGAGUAGCAGCUGUGAAAGCUGUCCAAAACCAGAUGCAUCAGAAUGGAGACAGUUGCCAUUCACCGUUAUCAGUUGUGUAAACCCCUCAGUUGGCUGAGUCUAUGGUUUUACACUCUCUCAUCGGUCUUGUUUUUAGAUACAGAGACUGAGACAACCAGGGACCAACUUGGAACCACAACAGGCAACGAGCUAAUUGAGGAGCAAGUUUAUCGUGUCCCUUCCAUUAGGCCUUUACUAAUAUGCACAUAUAGUGCGCCCUCACAUAGGAGCUAAGACCGCAACCACAACCAAAAAAAUAAAAGACUGCAGAUGUAAGUAGGUUGUUCGUCGUUUCUUUCUGUUGUUGCUGUCCAGUAAGUGUAGAUAGUUUCCUGUUUUCUGUGUUUUGCCAUAAGAGAAUGGCCAAGUUUCUAAUCUUGUAUCUCAAAGGAAGAUCACCUCUGCUGUGUUAUGUUGUAUAAAGUAAUAGUAACUAAACAUAUGCUGUAUUAACA
rnacentral:misc_RNA from 1 species